ACGCUGGCGGCACGCCUAACACAUGCAAGUCGAACGAAGUAGCAAUACUUAGUGGCAGACGGGUGAGUAACAUGUAGGUAUCUGCCCUUUGGCCUGGAAUAACACGAGGAAACUUGUGCUAAUACCGGAUAAGUCUUUACGGAGAAAGCUUUAUGCACCAUUGGAUGAGCCUGCACUUGAUUAGUUUGUUGGUGGGGUAAUGGCCUACCAAGACUGUGAUCAAUAGCUGAUUUGAGAGGAUGAUCAGCCACAUUGGGACUGAGACACGGCCCAAACUCCUACGGGAGGCAGCAGUGGGGAAUCUUGCACAAUGGAGGAAACUCUGAUGCAGCGAUGCCGCGUGAGUGAAGAAGGCCCUUGGGUUGUAAAGCUCUUUCGUCGGGGAAGAAAAUGACUGUACCCGAAUAAGAAGGUCCGGCUAACUUCGUGCCAGCAGCCGCGGUAAUACGAAGGGACCUAGCGUAGUUCGGAAUUACUGGGCUUAAAGAGUUCGUAGGUGGUUGAAAAAGUUAGUGGUGAAAUCCCAGAGCUUAACUCUGGAACUGCCAUUAAAACUUUUCAGCUAGAGUAUGAUAGAGGAAAGCAGAAUUUCUAGUGUAGAGGUGAAAUUCGUAGAUAUUAGAAAGAAUACCAAUUGCGAAGGCAGCUUUCUGGAUCAUUACUGACACUGAGGAACGAAAGCAUGGGUAGCGAAGAGGAUUAGAUACCCUCGUAGUCCAUGCCGUAAACGAUGUGUGUUAGACGUUGGAAAUUUAUUUUCAGUGUCGCAGGGAAACCGAUAAACACACCGCCUGGGGAGUACGACCGCAAGGUUAAAACUCAAAUGAAUUGACGGGGACCCGCACAAGUAGUGGAGCAUGUGGUUUAAUUCGAAGAUACGCGCAGAACCUUACCAACACUUGACAUGUUCGUCGCGACUCUAAGAGAUUAGAGUUUUCGGUUCGGCCGGACGAAACACAGGUGCUGCAUGGCUGUCGUCAGCUCGUGUCGUGAGAUGUUGGGUUAAGUCCCGCAACGAGCGCAACCCUCACUUUUAGUUGCCAUCAUUAAGUUGGGCACUCUGAAAGAACUGCCAGUGAUAAGCUGGAGGAAGGUGGGGAUGACGUCAAGUCCUCAUGGCCCUUACGUGUUGGGCUACACACGUGCUACAAUGGUAUCUACAACAGGAAGCAAAACUGCGAAGUUAAGCAAAUCCCUAAAAGAUACCUCAGUUCGGAUUGCACUCUGCAACUCGAGUGCAUGAAGCUGGAAUUACUAGUAAUCGUGGAUCAGCGUGCCACGGUGAAUGCGUUCCCGGGUCUUGUACUCACCGCC
rnacentral:rRNA from 1 species